rnacentral:misc_RNA from 1 species
UGAGAGUUGCAGAAUUUCUGAUUCAGAUGGAACAAGAGAGAGGAUAGAUGGGAAAAGAACCCACAUAGAUUCUGAUGUUCAAGCUUCUGAAUUUGAGGAUGGUAAAACAAAUACAGAGAGAAUCCAGCGUUCUGGUCAAGAACUGGAUGCUGAAACAUUGACUGAUGUUUCUGGCAAGGUGGCUAUUGGUAUUCCGUUUACUGAUGGAGGUGAUCAAGAAGCUAUGGACAAUUUAAAGCAAACAUCACCAAGGUUGGAUGUUCUCAAGACAAGGCAAAGAAGUUCGUCCCCUGCUGCUGAUUCUAGGGGAGAAAGCAAAAGAUUAGCAAUGAGAUGUGAGUUUUUUGCAAGGGGUUGGUGCAUCAAAG